AACUGAUACUACCUGCGGGAACCUGCGGAAGGAUCAUUAUAGAAAAAAACUUUUAACAGAAGUGAUGAGAGAGAGGGAGAGGGAGGGGUUAACUCUCACGUUUUCUCAUUCUCUCGCUCCCUCUUGUCAUUUCUGAACAAACAAACAUACGUGACUAAGAAAAACCAAAGAUUGAGAGAUUUGACUUGGUGCCUUGGUUGGUUAGGAGUGAUAUCUCUCGCAAAAGUUCCUGUCUGAUAA
rnacentral:misc_RNA from 1 species